CUAAUACCCAUUAACCCAAAAUUUUCGUCCCAAAAUGUCCCAAAGUUUUCGUCCCCCGAAACCUAAUAUCCAUUAACCCGAAAUUUUUGCCCCAAAAUGUCUUCUUCUCUCAAUUGAGAUUUUCGCAAUCUUCACUCAAAUUUCCUCCAAAACCGAUGGCUAGAUCCCUCUUUCUCUCUCUAAACAAAUCCAUCUCCACCCCCGCCACAAGCGUCACCUCCUUCCCCUCAGCCCAUCGUCUCACCUUGUAUCUCUCCGUGCUCAAUCCAACCAAACCGACCUCUCGGACCUUUCCACUUCUUCUGACUCCACCAUCGACCCUUUGCACUCGACUUCAUUAUCGAUGCAAUGUAUUGUUUUAAUUAGCUGUUUGCUUACUCAUUUGCUCAAGUUCUUUAGAAUUUUGAUGUGUUAUAUUUUGUAUUUUUUAAUGUUUCGAAUGGGUUAACUGUUUUGUAUGCUUGUAUUGUUGGUUGUGCUACUUGGAAUUGGUACCCAGAUGGAUUUCAUAUCACCUACUGGGCUCUGGUAAAUGUUUUAGGAGCUAUUGCUUUGGGCGCACCUAUGGGCAUUCAGUAUGUGAAGUAACGGUGGAUAAAAAAUUGUGCCUUGUUUUUUGGAUAUAAAAUGUCAUAAAUGUUAUGUGAAAGAAGUUUUCGUUCAAUUUCUUUAGGUGGUUGGAAUACAGCUGAAUCCUCAGUUUAUGGGCAUUGAUCUCAGAUGAGUGUGGCAGGAGCCAGAAAAGCUGGUCAAAGUCAAUAUGGGUGGUUGAAGGAAGCAUUGGAUAGAUUAGUAGAGCAACUAACGUCGCAACGACAACAACUUGAUGAGGAAUAACUGGUAAAUCAUUCUUUGAAGCUAAUCAAGAAAAUCUGAAUUGUAAAUAAAAUGUUGUUGAAGACAAAGAGAUUGCAUUUAGGGCGGAUAAACUUGAGCUCGAAGUAGUAGGGAUGGAAGCAAACAAGAAACUAUGACAGCAUUGAAGAUUUUGGGCUAUAGGAAAGAACAAAGAUGUUUGCAAUUUUGUUUCUUGUUUCACUCUUUUGGGAUUGGAAUCCUGAAACUUACUUAGAAGAUUCUGUGGUAGUGGGUAAGUAGGAAUUGUAAUGUUGACAGUUUUUGUUAAUAAAGAAGUGCAAUUUGAUUUGGGAAA